UAGAUGGAGCAUGUCAGGGUGG
rnacentral:piRNA from 1 species